rnacentral:lncRNA from 1 species
GGCGGCACUGGAACAGCAUGUUUUACGUACUUCGUUUCAAACUAAAAAUUUGGACCGCAUUACACAUUGCUAAACCCUCUAUUACGUCAAUUUUACAAUACGACUGGCGAUAGUUAAAUGAUUCAUUACACCCCGUGUAUUGUAAAGGGCAUAUGUCAGCAGAAUUCUUACAGGAUCUUGUGUUUUCAUUGAAAGGAAAAUCUCCAUGUAAAAUAGUCAUGUGUUUGUUCACAACAACACCCUACAUGUCCGUAGUUUUGCUCCUGGAAAGUUCAGAAUUAUGUAGACAUUUCAAAUCAUGUUCCUAGACAGAUGAACCAAAAGAUACUUCUGGCAUAAUUCUGUUGUGUGGAUCUCUUUGAUUGGAUUUUUGAUUGCAACUGUUUUCGAGGUAUUGAGUGCUUUUUAGUUUUAAUGAAUUACAUGAAUGAGCUUAGGCAAAAUACGCCUUCAUGAUAGUAGGCUUCAGUUAAAAUAAUAAUAGUUAUCCUUUAUUGCUGACGUUGAAUGUCAACCAGCAAGAUAACUUCUGUAACUUUAACAGAAUAUGUGUAUAAUAGAUCAAGUGUUUGAAAAACGCCAAUUUUCAGAAUAAAUCGAUUUCCU